UUGAACGCAAGUUGCGCCCGAAGCCUUCUGGCCGAGGGCACGCCUGCCUGGGUGUCAUGCAUCGUUUCCCCCUACUCCCUCAUGGGAAGAGGGGCGGACAUUGGCCUCCCGUGCGCUCCCGCUCGCGGUUGGCCCAAAAUCGAGUCUGCCUGCGGCUGUAGCCACGACGAGCGGUGGUUGAACAGACCCUCUGACACUGUCGUGCGCCCGAUGCUGCAGGCUUGAAGGACUGGUAGACCCUAUUUCUCACUGUGCGACCCCAGGUCAGGCGGGACUACCCGCUGAGUUUAAGCAUAUCAAUAAGCGGAGGAAAAGAAACUUACCAGGAUUCCCUUAGUAACGGCGAGCGAACCGGGAAUAGCCCAGCU
rnacentral:rRNA from 1 species